CAUCCCACCCCAGGUUGGCUUCUGGGAUUUCACGCUUAAGUCUCGGGAGCCAUGCCGCAGGAUGAUCUCACUAUACUCCACCUGUAACAUUUGUACCUUUCUAUUGAUUUCCUCUUCUCAAGUUUCUCAAGGCCUUGGGGCCUUCCAACAGAGUAUAAAGUAGGAAGAUCACCGUGAUGGCGGGAUUGCACAGAGCAGGAUCUCUAUGAACCAGGCAGACAGAAAAAUCAUCUCCUAGUCGCUGGUGCAAGAAGGGAAGAGCCCAAUUGCUGCAGCGUGAAAUAAACCCGCAGUUCUCACAUCUUGAGAAGAUUCCUUUGAAGUGAAGGCGAAGUCCUCAGGCAGUUUAUGCCUUAAAUUUCAGAACCUCCGGGCAUGCGCAGCGGCGCAGGUGCACUGCAUUUGCAUCAGCCCUUCGUCUUUUCCUCCGACGUCCUGCCACCAGCUCUCGGCACCCCUCUCACUGGCCUGUGCGUCGGUCCCCGCCCCUAGCGGUCAGUAGGCGGCGCCUGCUCCCUUUAACCAGUCUC